rnacentral:lncRNA from 1 species
GGAAAGUAAGGAUCAAAGACAUGCUGUAUCACAGUUGAUGGCUUUCAAUAGGUAUCUCAGCAUGAAACUGCCUUCACCUCAGAAAUACCCAGCCUCAAAAGCAUAUUCAAGCAGUUCUUCAUGACUCCCGUAAAUCAAGCUCUCAUCAUUGAGCCAUGGGAGCAAAUGAAUAUUCUCUUUUAAAGAGUGAACAAGCAAAUGCUUGGAAUAAAAAGAAAGAAUUACAUUGAAUCUUUUAAAAGACUCAGUUUUCCAACCUGGGCUGGCUAAGCAGCAGCCUGAAGGAACUAAGACAGCCCUGCAUGACCUGGCCGCUGCCUGCUAUUCCAGGAUUCUCUCCUGCAGCUUCUCGCCUCGUUUAUUCUCUAGUAAUGCAGAAUAGCAUGUGGCUCUACCCAUGUUCU